rnacentral:lncRNA from 15 species
AUGGUAGAAUGGACUCAAGUACCGUCGGCGGACCGCUACUACCUGUUGGUGAUCUCUCAGGCCACCGGACAGACGUUCAACAUGACUUACACCAACUUCAGCACAGUGGUGCGAAACCUGCAUCCCUCCACCAACUACGACUGCUACGUCUACACGGUUAACAGCGCGGGUUUGGGAAGUAGAAGCAAAGUGAGGACCAUUACGACCUUGGUGGAACCUCCACUGAAUGUCAGGGCAAUACAGACUGGCCGGGGUACAGCGAGGAUAACGUGGGACCCGGUGAAGGACGUUCUGAUGUACCGAUGCGUGAUCCUGGACAUCGAUGAACCCAACAACAAGCCGUCUGUGUACAACGUCUCAGACACCAAGCUGGAUGUUCAUGGCAUCCUCCCAUGUUCCACCUAUCGGAUAUCAGUGUCCUCAUUCAACAAGUUCCUGGUGCCAAGCGAGUCCACUGACUACUUUUACACCACCAACAAGCUGACACCAGUUUCAUCGGUUACUGUGGACUACACCUGCACCACUCAGUCUGUCAUGGUGCAUUGGUCGGCCGUGUUCGGGGCCGACUCCUACAAAGCCACGGCGAUGAGCCAUAAUGGCACGGAGCUGACGUGCAGCAGCCAGACCACCAGCUGUCUGAUCACCGAACUGAGCUGUGGCGAGACCUACGUGGUCAACGUGACGCCCAUGUCAGAGAGCUGCAAGAACAUGUUGAACUCCACCUCGGCCACUUUUGAGACUGGUGAGACACAAUCGUCACAAAAGGAAGAUGUGUUAACUCAUUAGGCAAACUACAAGACAUGAACACUUAUACACACACAAGUAGACGAAACAAAAACGCACACAAAUGAAGAUUUUGUCAAUCAAGCAAUGAAGUCUGUUCUAUAGAGAGUACGUGGAUGUUUUUUUUUUCCCACCAGUGACUCAAUAGUAUCUGCUUGCUUUUCCUUUCAAUGUAAGAGAAGUCAGAGGUAUUCUGGGGUGUAGUGGUAAAUGCUUUGCUGUAUUUGUUUCCCUUAUUGAUUAAUAGGAUUGAUCUGAAAUAGAUGAGUAGGCUCGUCUCAAGGAGGUGAAUAAACUGAGUUUACUUGGGUUAACCCCCCAAUACAGCCCUGCUAAAUGUCCAAACCACAUGUCCAAAGUGAACGUGCAAUAGAGG